GCCAGUGUGGUGCAGUGGUUUGAGUGUUGGGCUAGGACUCUAGAGACCUGGGUUCGAAUCCUGGCUGGGCCU